GUCUCCGUGGCGCAAUUGGUUAGCGCGUUCGACUGUUACAUGGCAGCCUGAUGCUUGUGUGCGAUCGAGAGGUUGACAGUUCAAUCCUGUCCGGGGACG
rfam:Puccinia graminis f. sp. tritici CRL 75-36-700-3 supercont2.3 genomic scaffold, whole genome shotgun sequence.